GAUGAACGCUAGCUACAGGCUUAACACAUGCAAGUCGAGGGGUAACAAGAGGAAAGCUUGCUUUCCUUGUUGACGACCGGCGCACGGGUGAGUAACGCGUAUCCAACCUGCCUAUAACUAGGGAAUAACCUUGCGAAAGUAAGACUAAUGCCCUAUGACUUCCUUUGGCGGCAUCAAAAAAGGAAUAAAGAUUUAUCGGUUAUAGAUGGGGAUGCGUCUGAUUAGCUUGUUGGCGGGGUAACGGCCCACCAAGGCAACGAUCAGUAGGGGUUCUGAGAGGAAGGUCCCCCACAUUGGAACUGAGACACGGUCCAAACUCCUACGGGAGGCAGCAGUGAGGAAUAUUGGUCAAUGGGCGGAAGCCUGAACCAGCCAAGUAGCGUGCAGGAUGACGGCCCUAUGGGUUGUAAACUGCUUUUAUACAGGAAUAAAGUUAGCCACGUGUGGUUAUUUGUAGGUACUGUAUGAAUAAGGACCGGCCAAUUCCGUGCCAGCAGCCGCUGUAA
rnacentral:rRNA from 1 species